rnacentral:rRNA from 1 species
UACGUAGGGUGCAGGCGUUAAUCGGAAUUACUGGGCGUAAAGCGUGCGCAGGCGGUCUAUUAAGACAGGUGUGAAAUCCCCGGGCUUAACCUGGGAACUGCGCUUGUAACUGAUAGGCUUGAGUGUGGCAGAGGGGGGUGGAACUCCAGGUGUAGCAGUGAAAUGCGUAGAUAUCUGGAGGAACACCGAUGGCGAAGGCAGCCCCCUGGGCUAACACUGACGCUCAUGCACGAAAGCGUGGGGAGCAAACAGG